UAGCAAAACCACCUCUGGGUAGUUUCCAGU
rnacentral:piRNA from 1 species